GUGAGAGCCAUUUUGAAAACAUUUCUCAUUACACCUUAUCACCGGGGCACAGAGGGGGGGGGGGGGGGCGACAUGAAGCAAAUUAGAGGGGUGAAUGAGAGACGGAGGGCGGAAAAAAGAAAAAAAAGGAGGGAGGGGCCGAGGACAUCAAAGCGUUCGCACUCUAUUUAAAUUGAGUGAUCUUCUGUGAAAGAUCCCCACUACAUAGAGAUUAACCCCCGUCCUCCCUCCCACUCACACACGGCUAAUAUCACACACACACACACCCUUGGAUUUAUGUGUCAAGGGUUAAUAACUAUGAGGCGGAGGACAGUGGGGGGGGGGUUCCUGCAGAAUGCACACGUGUGCGUGGGCACGUGUGUGUGUGUGUGUAGAGUAUGUUUGCCUGCACGUGAGGAUGUCGGCGUAUUUUCCAUGAUGUUUUUUAAAUAAAUGAAUGCGCAAACUCCCGGCCUCCAUUUUGCAAAGCGUAAAAAAAAAACGACUGCGGGCGCUCGCCGGGCCAACAGGGGGCGAUAAACGCUGCGUCAACGGCGCGCGAUCUCGUCAUUUCUACAUAUUCGACUGUUGGUGCGAUGGCAGAAACUAACGUUCACUGCGGCGCGCUGCGGUCCGAAGCGCUGGAAGCCCAAGGAACACGUAGUUGUACGAAGUAUACUCAGACCGCUCAGGGCCCUUCCAUGACCACCCAGAAGAGUCCCAGGGGGUCCCGCCGAUCGGGUCACGCCUUCGCUGUGUCCCAAAACGACACAAUGUAACAAAUGCGAAGUAGCCAUUUUUUCAAAAGUAGCCGUUCUAGUGACGUAAAGGUUCCUGUGAACGAGGGGCCAAAACACGGAGGAGAACCUCAAUUAAAAAUACCCGUGGCGGUGGAGAGGGCCCGAGAGCUCCCAUGAGGGGGGGGGAUCACACAGCGAGUGAGAGGGGCUCAGUUUCAUCUCACACCGACGGACCGACAUGUUACAAAUCCCGCCCGCAGCCGCACUGAACAGACCUGCCAGCUCUGCACGCCCACACACACACACACACACACACACACACACACACACACACACACACACACUGUGAGGUUGUGUGACAGUUGAGCUGCUGCCGGUUUUCCACCAGUUUCAUCACGUCUUUUAGCUGAAUGCAAAUACAUUUGCAGACGGGAGAGUUGCAUCUUUGCGUGUUUUGUUUAUGAGCCUUUCGCUCCCCGUCGGCGCGCAGGUAUCUGUCCGUUUGUCCCCGUUGUCUUCAGUAUAUGAAAGAGAGAGUGUGUGCGCGUGCGUUCCGCCUCUCCUUUCUCCAGAGUCGCGCCUCGUGCGCCCGAUCCCGCCCGGUGGAUUAGUGACGUCAGCGGAACUCACCCUCUCCCUCUGAUAAGGCCACGCGCCGCUCUCUGCUCCCCGCGCUCAAUUUCAGAUAGCGCUAAUGGAAUCUGUCCCGCGCGAUUGUAAUGCGAGCGAGACUCAUUUUCCACGGAGCUUGGAGCUGUCAGCUUGGCAGGACUGUUUUUUUGAGGGGGGGGUACGAAGAGAGAGGGCUGAUGGUAGGACGAGGAAGGAGAGGCUGCUGAUGAGGAAGAGGAGGAGGAAGGGCUGUGAGUGUGUGUUUUUGUGUGUGUCUUGACGCGUGUGGUGCGAGGCCUCUUCCCUCUUGUCAGGAGGCCGUGAAGUGGCUCCUCACGCGCCGUCCAUCACGAUUGCUGCCAAAACACCACGAGAAGGCUGUCGGCUCAUUUCUGCAUCGGGACGUUUCUCCGCUCUAGUGACACAAUAGUUUGAGAGCUUCUACAGAGGAAAUUUCAAGAGGAAUCCGGUCCGCUGCAACCGACCACUGUGCCGAGGACUUUAGUUGGAUGCUCAUUCUCUUCCUGUCCCGCUCUCUGCUCACUCAGUGCUGCUCAGCUCAGGGACGGGAAGGAAACACCAAUUUGGCAGCGCUACAGGGAUUACGGCGGUAGUGGGCAUUUUUUAAUCUGGGACAGAGUGUGGCAUUUUCUGCAUUUAAAGCUGUCACCAGUCCUGCCCCCAUCCAUCGGCCUGUCACCCCCGUGCCGUCCCGUUAGGAGAAACACGAAACACUGCUGGAGCUGAUUAGACUCUUUAAAAUAAAUAAAUAAAAUAAAUAAACGGUAACCUAAAUCUCCCGAGCCGGGGCUUUACGCAGCCAGAGCCCCCAUUACUGGUUCCUCUGACCCCCCGC
ensembl:lncRNA